rnacentral:misc_RNA from 1 species
UGAUAACUCACAUGCUUCUGCUGCUUCACACAUAUUUUUACCGAGAUGCAAUGAGCCGUGAGACUCGUGAUUUAGUGCUAUUCUGCCCCAAACUUGUGAAACCUGAGAGAAGUGGGUGACUCUACAUAUAUUCCACAUAUAUAGAUAUUUAACUGCAUAAUAUUCCUAGAGAUUAGCUAAUUCAAUAAUAGCCUGUACCCCUGGAAUUUUGAGUUUAUAAUUA